GUAAUUUUUGACAGUUGCAGGAGAGGAAUCAUGGGUGGUGGGGAAUAAAAACCACAGAAGAGGUGCAGCCCUGGAAAAGUCUUGGAGGCGAGCAUUAGAGGUGGGAGUACGGACAGAAGAUAAACGUAAGUCUUUGGCAAGGCGUAGGGGCCUUGACGGGACAUACUUGUGUAUUAGGGAAGAUAGGUAGGUUGGAGCAGCAUUAUGU